rnacentral:rRNA from 1 species
UACGGGAGGCAGCAGUGGGGAAUAUUGCACAAUGGGCGCAAGCCUGAUGCAGCCAUGCCGCGUGUAUGAAGAAGGCCUUCGGGUUGUAAAGUACUUUCAGUCGUGAGGAAGGUGUUAAGGUUAAUAACCUUAGCAAUUGACGUUAGCGACAGAAGAAGCACCGGCUAACUCCGUGCCAGCAGCCGCGGUAAUACGGAGGGUGCGAGCGUUAAUCGGAAUUACUGGGCGUAAAGGGCACGCAGGCGGUUAAUUAAGUUGGAUGUGAAAUCCCCGGGCUUAACCUGGGAAUGGCAUUCAAGACUGGUUAGCUAGAGUCUUGUAGAGGGGGUAGAAUUCCAUGUGUAGCGGUGAAAUGCGUAGAGAUGUGGAGGAAUACCGGUGGCGAAGGCGGCCCCUGGACAAAGACUGACGCUCAUGUGCGAAAGCGUGGGGAGUAAACGAGGGAUUAGAUACC